CGUAGGUGGCAAGCGUUGUCCGGAAUUAUUGGGCGUAAAGCGCGCGCAGGUGGUUUCUUAAGUCUGAUGUGAAAGCCCACGGCUCAACCGUGGAGGGUCAUUGGAAACUGGGGAACUUGAGUGCAGGAGAGAAGAGUGGAAUUCCACGUGUAGCGGUGAAAUGCGUAGAGAUGUGGAGGAACACCAGUGGCGAAGGCGACUCUUUGGCCUGUAACUGACACUGAGGCGCGAAAGCGUGGGGAGCAAACAGGAUUAGAUACCCUGGUAGUCCACGCCGUAAACGAUGAGUGCUAAGUGUUAGAGGGUUUCCGCCCUUUAGUGCUGCAGCAAACGCAUUAAGCACUCCGCCUGGGGAGUACGGCCGCAAGGCUG
rnacentral:rRNA from 1 species